UAAAUUCUCCAAAAUUGGCAAAGUGUUUGAUGGAAUGUCUCAAAGAAAAUUGCAUAUAGAUGUUUCUGCUGUUACUGACUUGUUGGCUACUGGAUUGCGGGAGNUUCAAGCUUCUUUUAGAUGUUAUUUUUCAAUAGCAAUGGUUAGGAAAACAAAGAUAAUUUUCUCCCAGCUUUUGCCAAUCCACACAAUUAACAAUUAAACUCAAUUUUUAACANUGUUCAAAGCUGGCUGCACAUGGCAAUCUGGUCUGGAAAAUUUAAAACUGAUGCUUAACUGAUAUGAAAUAGGAUGUAUGAUGGUUUCCAGCAAGUUUAUAUGAUGAUAAUGGAUAGAUGCAGGCAGCUAAGUACUCACAGAACAAACUACAGCAGAAUUUGGCUAUGACACUUCCCAAAAGUGACCAAAAGUGAGGUAUUCAAGCAUGGGCUGUAAGCCAAUAUGAAAAUUGACCAUAUGAACAGUAACCUACCAGUUUUGAUGCACUUUUAACAGAUGUUUAGCUCAACAAAUCACCCUAAAACAGUUGUUUAAGAAAAUUGGCUAUGCUACUAAAUGAAUUCAAGCCAAAUGAGGAAGUGAUAUAGUGAUUUUGUGCAUUGGUGUAGAUCUGACCAUAAAAUCAGUUUGGACACAUUCUAAAUGAUCAAACAAAGUGGUUCUGAAGUUCCAAAUGCACAAAAACCAGCAACUAUGGAAUUUCACACUUCCACUUGCCAAAUUAUGCAGAAAAACAAAUAAAACUGCAGCAGUCCAAGGAAUUCAUGCGUGAUUGGAUUCAAAUUGGUUUAGUAACAAUGAAUUCAAGGAAACUAAGUCUAGAUCUAGCUUUAGAAGAUAAAACUAGCAGAAUUAAAAUAGCCUACUGACUUGCAAAGCAUAAGAACAUGGUGCAGAGUUCAAUUUUUUAACC
rnacentral:lncRNA from 1 species